rnacentral:lncRNA from 1 species
AUCAUGAUUAUAAUAUCAUACUUAUCCUUUUCAUUAUUGCUUCUUCCGCCCUAGUUGUUUUAUUUGCCUCCGUUCUCCUUCUGCCGUUCGUCUUUUCUCCAGAUCUGUUCUCCAUGGUCGCUCAACGUCGCGCGUGGAUGAUACAAUCAUGUAGGUCAGGCGACGAUCUACGCGACGAUGUACUUAUCAAGGGCGGAGGCGUUCUUAGCCGUCGUUCCGGCUUAAUAUUCACAUGUGGCUGGCGUAGCAUAGAUAUGUCCACAGGUUUCGAUCUAAUCUUCUUGUUCUUGAUUAUAUCUACACUUGUUGGUUACAUGACUUCUGUUUCUGUCGUUCCAGACGAUUUGUGGUUACAUGGCGUGUUAUUGCCCUGCUGGUGCGAUCGGAAAGGCGACGAUUUUUGAUUACAGGUCCUGCUAUCGACCAGCUGCUGCGAUCGGAAAGGUGUUUUUUGUGUAUUUAUGCGAUUCUUAUAGUUCGUGUAUUGAAGAGCCGUUGUAAUUUUUGUUGUGUGUAUGAUAUCAUAGAUCUAGCCAUAUCUUCGGAUCUGAAGAUGAGCUAGCCCUCUAGUCAAAGAUCAGGUAUGUCGAGGCGUUCUCUGCCGCUGGAGCCAAGUAUGAUGCGUAGUGACGGGAGCUGGAUAUCGUCGAUUGUGGGUGUAUAAGAUAUGAGGGGGAUGAUGGCGCUGUGUUCGGUGGCCUGGUGUCCUUGUUAGUAUCUUUGUCAUCCGACCUUUGCCAUAUAGGGUGCGCUCGUAUGGCAGGUCACCAAUGAAUAAAAAAACAACCGUUUGUGUUUCAGAGGGAAGAUCGCACGGGGGAUUUGCCCGGGUUCUUUCCUCUGCUGUGUCUCGUGUUCCUUCUCUUCAUUACGCCUAUGCUCCAAACCCAAUCGAUUGGAGGAUGAUACUUCCUCCUACCCAGCUCUAAUUGCCAGGCUUUCAAGGCGCAUGACAAUAAAGGUAACAUCUCAUCCGUUUUAAUACUUCUGUUGGAGACUCUGAGGGACCAGCCAUCUUCCAUUCUGCCAGGUAACCUCGUUAUUUGUCAACUUUGCGCUAUCAGUAUCCAUAUUCCCGAUUCUGUCGUGUAUUUCUCAACCCAAUUACUUCAAAAUGAACACCAAGAAUGUCUUUUCCCUCGGCUGUUAUGACUAACCUGUCGAUCAAGAGCAUCAUAUCCAUAUAUGAAAUCUACCUUUUCUAUUGCGUCUAAUAAGGGCUAAAUGUUCGUAUAUUAUAUUGAACAUUGGAUUAUUUAAUUUCCUUCUGUAUUAUAUAUUGUAUACUUUUUGUAGUUGGUUCGUAGUGUGUAUAUGGUUAGUAGCUUGAUCUCACUUUCUUUGUUUCCAGUCUAUCAGCUCAGUUGCUAGUUAUUAUUGGGGUGAUUUGUUCGUGUUUUUGUGUUGGUACUAAUAUGUCCGGUUCUGUAAUGUUCAUAAUUGUACCUGUGGAAUGAUAUGCAUGGCUUGUGGCGUUUGCUGUAAUGUCGUCGUGUAUUCUGCUUACAAGUUCAGAUUGUUUGCUGUAAUAUUGCGAGUGUAUUCUGCAUCCAAGUUCAGAGAUUGGCGUUGAUGCGCUGGACGACUGUGAUCUUCAAGCUCGGUUAUCUCAUGACAUGGACCAGAGGGAGAUUCUACAAUUUAUUAUUUCUGAUCGUAGUGUUCGGUUUUUGUUUGAAUUAUGAAGCACAGUUGUUUAUUUACGAUUACUCGUGUUUGUGCAUAUACGUUGUGACUGUUUAAAAGCUCCGAUAAUGUGUUUUUUUUUUCUAAAUGGUCAAAUGAUUUCAUGUAUUCGAUCACUGUUUGGAGUGCUUGUUAACUAUGCUAAUGUAAUAGUUAAAUUUUAUUUUUGUUAAAGGGAUAUCUUCGCAAACUAUCAGUUUUUGUGUGGAAUGCUUAUAU